rnacentral:rRNA from 1 species
CAAUAGCGUAUAUUUAAGUUGCUGCAGUUAAAAAGCUCGUAGUUGGAUUUCGGGUGGGUAUGGCCGGUCCGCCGUUUCGGUGUGCACUUGCUACGCCCACCUUGCUGCCGGGGACGUGCUCUUGAGUUCACGCUCGGGACACGGAGUCGGCGAGGUUACUUUGAGUAAAUUAGAGUGUUCAAAGCAGGCCUACGCUCUGAAUACAUUAGCAUGGAAUAACACGAUAGGACUCUGGCCUAUCUUGUUGGUCUGUAGGACCGGAGUAAUGAUUAAGAGGGACAGUCGGGGGCAUUCGUAUUUCAUUGUCAGAGGUGAAAUUCUUGGAUUUAUGAAAGACGAACUACUGCGAAAGCAUUUGCCAAGGAUGUUUUCAUUAA